rnacentral:lncRNA from 10 species
GCACCUCAAGUGCUUUACAACAUGGAAUGCCAGAAUACACCAAUUCCAAGCCAAAUCUACACAGGAGUGAAAAAUUCUGUUUAGAUAAAUGCAACUAUUCAAACACAUGCUUUCAAAUAACACUUCCUCCUUAGUGCUGAGGGCCAUCUUGAUACUUUGUUAAAAUGAUUCAAUCAAGAGACAGAAUAGAGAGAUUGAGGGAGAGUGUGAUGCUUUCUUUAAUGCCCUGAUCCUGAGUUAGAUGUAUCAGCAGUGUGUCCUGGAGCUUUUUCUAAACCUCCUGUUUCCACAUCUACCACCUUCUAUCACACUGGAUUCUUUACAUAGUUUCCACCACGACACUGUAAAUGUUAAGGAUGUCAAAUCAAGAUUGAAUCUUGGUUUUUCCAUUGCCUUUAUAUUAUAGCAAAGUACCUGGUACAUAGUUUAUAGUUAAUAACUAUCAUCUAAGUGGAUUGGUUACCCUACAUUAUCUUCCCAAAUAAAUGCCAAUUUCAAAUAAAUACCAAAUUUUGCCAACUCUCUAUUCAAACCCACAUCUUUCAUUUUCAGGAAAUGACAUAUUCUCUUUAAUGAAAAUAAGGACAUAAAGUAUCACCUACCAUUAUGUAGCCAGUCCCACCCUCCUAUAAACUUACCUAUAAUUGGGUGAUGAGUGAUCCUUCCUCUUAAUUAAUGUAAUUUUUCACUUGUAGAAUUGAUCUAGCUCAUGCCUUCCAUUAUAUCUUGUAUCUUUCCCCAUUUGUUAUUGUGUCUCAUAUCUCUGCCUUCAGCCCUUCCCACUUCUCUAUCUCUUAUUUUGCCUGUAAACAUGAUUGAGGCAAAAUGAUUGAGGUAGAAUGACAUAACCAAAAAGAGGGUAAUUUCAGAAUUUCAUUCCAAUGUGAGAGAGCUCCAGUGGGCCCUUUUAUCUUCUAAAAUCACCCUCUUUUUUGUUAUGCUAUUCUCUAGCUUCCAACUACAUUUUUUUUUAAAGAGGUGGGGUCUCGCUACAUUGACCAGGCUGGUCUUGAAAUCCUGACCUCAAGUGAUCCUCCCAUCUUAGCCUCCCCAAGUGCUGGGAUUACAGGCGUGAUCCAUCACAGCCAGGCCCCAACUACUAUCUUGCUGACCCUUUUCUAAUUCUCUUCUUUUGAAAGGAGUUUUCAAUUUGCUACUUUACUUCCUAAUAUCCCAUUCAUGCAUCAACCCAAUGUAGAGUAGCUUCUAUUCUAAUUACUCUACCAAAGCUGUUCUUCCAUACCGUUCACUCCUUUCACUCAAAGUACCCCAUAUUUUUGAAGAAUGGUAUCAUUCAUGAUACAAUGUUCUCUAGUAAGCAGAUUUGGACAUGGAGAUAUAUACUAGGGAGUGCCCUUGGAUUACUACCUGUGAAAAGGAGAAGAAGGAAGCUGGAUUGAGGGAAAGGGAAAAAGCUGGGCUGAAAAGAAGUCCUGGACCACAGCUUUGGCUCAUCUCACAGGGGACUUUGAAGAUAAAAUGGCCCACUGGCAUCCUUUCACAUUGCAAUGACAUGACUGAGUCUUUAUAGGCCCCAAGUCCCCUCCCCACCUCUUUCACCUGCCUCCUUGCCUCACCUCAAUCAGUCGUUGCAUAUGCACCACAACUGGGAACCUCAGGACCUUAGGCAGGGGGAAGCUCUGCAGCUGAGGUGACGUCUGAAGGGGCUCACAGCUGAGUCCUGUCUACUGACACAGCUCUCAGGGAGGACCUAGGUGAUGCAUCUCUGUGUGUAUCAUAUAUAUGAGUAAUGAUAUUAGAGGUUUUAUAAUUUAACCUUUUUUCUCCUUUUUAUCUUUAAUCUUCACUGUAUUUCAGUCA